GUGAGGAAUAUUGGACAAUGGGCGCAAGCCUGAUCCAGCCAUGCCGCGUGCAGGAAGACGCAUCUAUGGUGUGUAAACUGCUUUUGUACGGGAAGAAACACUCCCUCGUGAGGGAGCUUGACGGUACCGUAAGAAUAAGGAUCGGCUAACUCCGUGCCAGCAGCCGCGGUAAUACGGAGGAUCCAAGCGUUAUCCGGAAUCAUUGGGUUUAAAGGGUCCGUAGGCAGUUUAAUAAGUCAGUGGUGAAAGCCCAUCGCUCAACGAUGGAACGGCCAUUGAUACUGUUAGACUUGAAUUACAAGGAAGUAACUAGAAUAUGUAGUGUAGCGGUGAAAUGCUUAGAUAUUACAUGGAAUACCAAUUGCGAAGGCAGGUUACUACUUGUGGAUUGACGCUGAUGGACGAAAGCGUGGGGAGCGAACAGGAUUAGAUACCCCGGUAGUCC
rnacentral:rRNA from 1 species